AUGAAUGAUUCAUCUAUUUACCGAGAAUGCUUGGAAUGCUUUGUGCUAAAUAUGAUGGAAAAUUCAAUGGCAGCCAAGGCACUACCUUUGAAGAAACCUGGUAAAUGGCAGAGGAGAGAUGAAUUUGUAAUGGCACAGACAGAAGAUAAAAGGAAGGAGAAGGACCUGGCGGAGGACGCCUCCUCAGCUGCUCCGAGUCCCCAGGGCUGUGCGGAUGGUAGGGAUGCCGACGCUACCGAGGAGCGGAUAGCAGAAACGGAGAGAAACCACGAGGAGCAGUUCGAAUGCCAGGAACUACUCGAGUACCAGGUGCAGUUGGGGGCUCCAGAGGAGGAGGAGGAUGCAGGCCUUGUGGCCGAGGCGAGGCUGUGGCUACCAGGUGAUGCUCGAUUUCCUCUGCCUCUCUCUUUGCCGAGCUUUCCGCGACGCCCGCUCCGAGGACAUUCUUCAGACCCGCGACAGCACCCAGGCUAUUAUUCAUGGACUAUCCAGCCUAACAGCUUAUCAGUUGAGAACUGUAUACAUAUGUCAGUUUUUGACAAGAAUUGCAGCAGGAAAAAACCUUGAUGCACAGUUUGAAAAUGAUGAACGAAUUACACCCUUGGAAUCAGCCCUGAUGAUUUGGGGUUCGAUUGAAAAGGAACAUGACAAACUUCACGAAGAAAUACAGAAUUUAAUUGAAGUUCAGGCUAUAGCUGUUUGUAUGGAAAACAGGAACUUUAAGGAAGCAGAAGAAGUCUUUGAAAGAAUAUUUGGUGAUCCAAAUUCUUACGCGCCUUUAAAAAGGAAAUUGCUUAUGAUAAUCUCUCAGAAAGAUACAUACCAUUCUGUUUUUCAACACUUCAGUUACAACCACAUGCUGGAGAAAAUUAAGAGUUAUGUGAAUUAUGUGCUAAGUGAAAAAUCAUCAACCUUUCUAAUGAAGGCAGCAGCAAAAGUAGUAGAAAGUAAAAGAGCAAGAACAAUAACUUCUCAAGAUAAACCUAAUGGUAAUGAUGUUGAAAUGGAAACUGAAGCUAAUUUAGAUACAAGAAAAAGUGUUAGUGACAAACAGUCUGCGGUAACUGAAUCCUCAGAGGGUACAGUAUCCUUAUUGAGGUCUCACAAGAAUCUUUUUUAUCUAAAUUGAAGCAUGGAACCCAGCAACAAGACCUUAGUAAAGAAAGAAGAGUAGGAACUCUUCAAAGUGCAAAAAAGAAAAAAGAAAGCAGAAGAGCCACUGAAAGUAGAAUACCUGUUUCAGAAAGUCAACCGGUGACUCCUGAAAAACAUCGAGCUAGAAAAAGACAGGCAUGGCUUUGGGAAGAAGACAAGAAUUUGAGAUCUGGCGUGAGGAAAUUUGGAGAGGGAAACUGGUCUAAAAUACUGUUGCAUUAUAAAUUCAACAACCGGACAAGUGUCAUGUUAAAAGACAGAUGGAGGACCAUGAAGAAAGUAAAACUCAUUUGCUCAGACAGUGAAGACUGAUUGCGUUUCUAAAAGCUUGAUGAAAGGACAGUUAAGCACAUGUAGAUCACUACAUUUUGUUUGAAACUUGCAUCAUUGAUGUAUUUUAAAACUUUUGUUUAAAGCAUUACAGUAUUUUUCUGUGACCAUCAAUAUAAGGGUUUGUGCUCUAAGAAUUAAAGUAUAUGCUAUCAUUGUGUUCUUUAAGAACCUUUUGAUAAACUGUAAAUUUGUUGAACCCUGCCACAUUUAGGAUCCCCACCUCCAAAUCCUAUUCCAGUGAAAAAAAUUAAAAGCUGAUCUGAAAAAAAUAUUUUAAUUAACCUAUUUUGUGUCUGUAGGCUGACCUCAACACUGUAACGUAACCCAUUAAAAUGAAUUUUUUAGAUAAUUGAAUAACAAUAGUCCUUUGAUAUGAGAUAGUGACUUGGUUUAUGGCCUUAAUAUACUGCUUAAUUACUUAAGACAUUCAUUAAUAGAAUGAUAAAUGUACAAAGUAACCUAUAAGUAUGACAUACGUUUGCUUUCAGUGGCUUCAUGUAAA